rnacentral:rRNA from 1 species
GAUGAACGCUGGCGGCGUGCCUAAUACAUGCAAGUCGAGCGAACGGACGAGAAGCUUGCUUCUCUGAUGUUAGCGGCGGACGGGUGAGUAACACGUGGAUAACCUACCUUUAAGACUGGGAUAACUUCGGGAAACCGUAGCUAAUACCGGAUAAUAUUUUGAACCGCAUGGUUCAAAAGUGAAAGACGGUCUUGCUGUCACUAAUAGAUGGAUCCGCGCUGCAUUAGCUAGUUGGUAAGGUAACGGCUUACCAAGGCAACGAAGCAUAGCCGACCUGAGAGGGAGGUCGGCCAACCUGGAUGUGAGACACGGCCCAGACUCCUACGGGAGGAAGCAGUAGGGAAUCUUCCGCAAAGGGCGAAAGCCUGACGGAGCAACGCGGCGUGAGUGAUGAAGGUCUUCGGAUCGUAAAGCUAUGUUAUUAGGGAAGAACAUAUGUGUAAGUAACUGUGCACAACUUGACGGUACCUAAUCAGAAAGCCACGGCUAACUACGUG